rnacentral:misc_RNA from 1 species
GUGAGUCAUCGAAUCUUUGAACGCACAUUGCGCCCCUUGGUAUUCCAUGGGGCAUGCCUGUUCGAGCGUCAUUUGAACCCUCAAGCUCUGCUUGGUGUUGGGUGUUUGUCCCGCCAUUGCGCGUGGACUCGCCUUAAAGUGAUUGGCAGCCAUGUAAUUCGGCUUUGAGCGCAGCACAUUGCGUACUCUAUGCUGGUACAUUGGCAUCCAAAAGCCCUUUUUUUUACUCUUGACCUCGGAUCAGGUAGGGAUACCCGCUGAACUUAAGCAUAUCAAUAAGCGGAGGA